rnacentral:rRNA from 1 species
UACGUAGGGCGCAAGCGUUAUCCGGAAUUAUUGGGCGUAAAGAGCUCGUAGGCGGUGUGCCGCGUCGGCCGUGAAAACCUGCAGCUUAACUGUGGGCUUGCGGUCGAUACGGGCAUCACUGGAGUUCGGCAGGGGAGACUGGAAUUCCUGGUGUAGCGGUGAAAUGCGCAGAUAUCAGGAAGAACACCCGUGGCGAAGGCGGCAUCCUGGACCGGUAUUGACGCUGAGGCGCGAAAGCUAGGGGAGCAAACGGG